GAUGAACGCUAGCGAUAGGCUUAACACAUGCAAGUCGAGGGGCAGCAUGGUCUUAGCUUGCUAAGACUGAUGGCGACCGGCGCACGGGUGCGUAACGCGUAUGCAACUUGCCUCACAGAGGGGGAUAACCCGUCGAAAGACGGACUAAUACCGCGUACACUCUAUUUUGGGCAUCCAAGGUAGAGGAAAUGAAAUUCGCUGUGAGAUAGGCAUGCGUCCCAUUAGCUAGUUGGUGAGGUAACGGCUCACCAAGGCGACGAUGGGUAGGGGAGCUGAGAGGUUGAACCCCCACACUGGUACUGAGACACGGACCAGACUCCUACGGGAGGCAGCAGUGAGGAAUAUUGGUCAAUGGGCGAGAGCCUGAACCAGCCAAGUCGCGUGAAGGAUGACUGUCUUAUGGAUUGUAAACUUCUUUUGUAGGGGAAUAAAGAGGGGCACGUGUGCCCCAGUGAAUGUACCCUACGAAUAAGCAUCGGCUAACUCCGUG
rnacentral:rRNA from 1 species